GGUGGGUUCAUUUCCGGCCCGCGCGGCACCCUGGGGCGGCUGUGGCGGAGCGGGGCUUUCGCCGGGAGCCUGGAAGACUUUCGGGCCGGGGCGUGCGCCGGCGCGCUGGGUUCAUCUGGAAUUGUACGUUGACAAAUCAAGGGGAGCUAAACUGAAGGUCAAUCUAGAUGUUACUUUUCCACAUGUGCCUUGUGCUUGUGAGUCAGACUGCUGCCUGUGAAGGGAUAACUUUUGUACUUAGGGGUAGGGACAUGCAUGACUUCUGCCUACUAGAUGCUUUAAUCACUCCUACCAUCAUGCAGAUGAUUGUUCCUGAGUUGUCAAGGAAGUUGGUAGUAAAGACAGUAGCAACAGCAUAGGAGGCAGUAAGAUUUUCACUGCUGCAGCCUCAUAUUUGAUGUCCUACACUAAAAGCAUAAAGAAAAUCUGAGAUAAAGUGAUAAGUUGUGUGCAAUUACAUAGAUGAACUGAAAACUUAAAGCCAACACAGGAAAACACAAAGUGGUAUGCAUUUUUCAAAGAAAAGACAAGGUUUGAGUCUGAAAUAUGGACUCUUGCUUAUAAUUUUGGUUAAAAGCCAUAGAAAAUAGGCUAAGGGAGAGGAAAGAAUUGCCUAUUUCAGCAUUUGUAAUCUGUCAAGGUGUUAGGAAAAUUAACACUACCACAGAAUAUACAAAAGAAAGACAUAAUAUUUUAGCUUGGUGACUCCAUAAACUGCCUGAUUCCACAUAUGUGCUCCUAUUUGCUUCUUAAGAUGUUAUUUUCUUUUUUAAGAUGGAUACAAUGAUGUUUGUGUUAUCACUUCAUUCACAGUGCAUUUCUUCAGAAUAUGCUCCUUUGGAAAAAGAAAGUCAUUACCAAUUUGUAUCUUUCCUGGUGGCUGAUCUCACAGCUCUUAAAUCACAUUGAAGGAAGAAUGUGAAUCUUCAGACUUGUUUGCAGAAUGGGGUGGGGGUGUGUGUCUUUCCUUUGAUAUUUGGAGGCAUAGCAACAGAUUACUCUCCUCAAGAGCAUUCAGAAAAUGGUUUUACUUAAGUGAUCUAUGAUCACUCAACUCAACAAAGUAAAAAACCCUAGUGCCACAAGCCUCUAAAUACAUAUGCAUGUAACUGCAUUUGAGCGCACUGUUAAAACCAGUGGUCCUACCUCUAAAUAUAAAAGUUAAGGAGGAAGAGAAGUUUGUGGUGCAGAGGGUGUGAACUCAUAAGGGUGUUCCUACAGAUUCUGUAUAUGGGAGAAGUGUUUUAUUUAAAUGCGUCUGGACAAUAAAACUGUAGUAAAACCA